rnacentral:rRNA from 1 species
GACAGAGGGUGCAAACGUUGUUCGGAAUUACUGGGCGUAAAGCGUGAUGUAGGCUGCUACAUAAGUCGGAUGUGAAAGCCCCGGGCUCAACCCGGGAAGUGCACUCGAUACUGCGUAGCUUGAGUCUCGGAGAGGUUGGUGGAAUUCUCGGUGUAGAGGUGAAAUGCGCAGAUAUCAGGAGGAACACCGAUUGCGAAGGCAGCUCGCUGGGACGUAACUGACGCUGAGACGCGAAAGCGUGGGGAGCAAACAGG